UCCCUUCUGGAGCCUUAGCCUUUGC
rnacentral:piRNA from 1 species